CUCUCCUUCCCUGGGUCUCGUCUAGGGUUAGAGUCACUGAGAUAUGUCUCUCCCUGAGUGAGUCUCAGUAUUCAGAGAUUUCUGCAGAGAUGAUAAACAAGCUAUAGGAAAACACAGGGAAAGAUUUACUUUUAAUUUGUUCUGGCUACUUAAACAUAUAAAUUUUUUCCUUCCCAGAUUUCCUGAGAAGCAAAUGACGUGUGGAGCAUUUUAAACAGCAGUGACCAUUUACUGAGCUAAGUGCUUCACGUACGCAAUCUCAUGUAUCUCCGUUACUCAGUAAGUUCUCCAAGCUUGUGGUAAUCAGAGUCUCCCUGGCUGCCUUCUACUGAUGGACUUAUAGGCACAUGGCAGAAAGGAUGUGAAAUUUGGCACCAAAAACACAUGUAUUUGUGAACUUCACAAACUUCUGGUUUGUGGUCUAUAAAGUGUGGCAGUCUUUGAUGCACCAUCCCACCCUAAAACAAAUGCCAACUGACAUUGCUUCUGUAAGGAGAGCGUUAGGAGACAAAACCCUGGAAAGAGCUGAGGCUUGCAAAAAACCCACAAAGGACGAUAAAAAGGGCUUUCUGAGCUAUGUUUGGAGGGAGAAGGAAAAGGAAGGGAUCGGGAGCAGAUGAUGCAACCCAAACAGAUGACACUAAGAAAGCAGAAGUUCUCCACUCUUAUUUUGCUUCCACCUUCUCCCUUGAGGAACAAGGUCUUAAGGCUGGAAAGAAUCAAGCACACAUUGUGCAGAACAAAUUGAAACAUUAAUUUUGGAAAAGGAGUACAGGGCUUUUGCAUACACCAAGGAUAAUGACUCAGAUGACUCCAAGGACUAGACAGGUAAAUAAAAGCAUGAAGUGUGUGUAGAUCUGUCUCUAUGGAACUAACUGAGAGGUCCAAGGGAGCAGGGAGCUGGGGACUUCAGCUCCUGCUCACUCUAGUCUGUCACACUGGCCAUGAAGACAUACAGAGUGUUGUCCAAGAAUAUAUGACUGACUGUCCAAAGAUUGUCCAAAAAAUCCAAUCUUUGAUUUUUUUUCAACAUAGGUCAACACCCGGAAUGAUUUCAUGCUUAACCUGCCCAGAUUUUUUAAUGCCAGCAAGGAACUUAGAAGUUUUCAAAAUGCUGUACAGACCCAAAGAACACUUGUCUGCAGAGUAGGCUCAGCCCAAGGCUGCCAUUUUGGAAAUUCUGCUCAAAAUAAAAUUCAGCUCUUCAGGGUACCUGGCAAAUGAUACAACUGAAGAUCAUGACAACUGGCAGGAGGAAGCAAGCUAACCAUGGGUCAGAGGGGACUGUUGCUCAAGGUUUCUGAAGGGGUCAAGGUCGAUUUCCCAAAUUAGAUUAGUCUCUGACCCUGAUUCCAGCAAAUUCCAGAACAGGUUACAGCAGAUGGUGAAUAUGACAAGAAAGAAAGGCAGGGAACUUGGUUUCCACCAUAGCUUGAGUAAGAUCAAGGACUUUUUAAAAGGGCCACUAGACUAGAAGCUCAAGGAGAUGAUACGAAAGGACCUCAAAGGAAUGUGACAAUAUCUCAGCAAUGAGAACUGUGGUUGAAUAUAGAGUAAGUUUAGAUGAAUUUGUAGGUGGAUAGACAUCCAGAUCUCAAACACAUUGGUUACUGGAUCAACCACCACCAGGGAGAAGGUCCUGAGCAAUCAUUCUAUGAAGGCUUAACAUUUUAAGUACAGUUGUCCUUGGGUAUUUCUGGGGAAUUGGUUCCAGGACUCCCACCAACCCUGAUGAUACCAAAAUCCACGGAUGUUCAAAUCCUUUAUAGAAAAUGGCAAUUUGGGACCCAUGGAUACAGGGGCUCAACUGUAUUUUCAUUACCUCUUGGAUGAAGAACUGAUGGCAGAACAGGUCUCAAAAACAUAUUUGAGGGCUGAGUGUGGUGGUUCAUGCCUGUAAUUCCAGUACUUUGGGAAGCUGAAAUUGCUUGAGCCCAGGAGUUCAAGACCAGCUUGUGCAACAUAGCAAGAACUGUCUCUACUAAAAAUAUUUUUAAAAAAGCUAAGUAUGCUGAUGUGUGCCUGUAGUCCCAGCUACUCGGGAGGCUGACCUAGGAGCAUCUUUGGAGUCCCACAGGCGGAGGUUACAGAGAUCCAUGAUCCCAUGAUUGCACCACCGCACUCCAGCCUGGGUGGCAGAGUGAGACCCUGUUUCAAAAACAACCAACCAAAGAAAAAAAAAAAAAAGAAAGAAAGAAAAAGAAAAGAAAAAAAUACAUACUUGAAAACACUUAUUAUUUUUAAAAAUCAGACUGCUCUGUGUGUGUAUGUUUCACCUUCACCAUCACUAGCUUUGUGUCCUUGGCCAGAUUACUUCAUCUCUCUGACCUUCAAUGUCCUCUCCAGCAAAGGCGGUGCUACAGUAGGGUCUAUCUCACAAAGAUAUUGUGAAGAAUGAUUGGACUGGUGCAGGAAAAGAGCUUAAUAUAGCACCUCCCUUGGGAAAAAUGCUUAAUAUAUGUCAGCAGCCUUAAUGAUCACUGUUAUUAUGAUUAUGAUGGAUAUAUUUGCAAAUAUUAAAUUUUUUGCAGAUCUCCUGGG